rnacentral:rRNA from 1 species
UACGAAGGGUGCAAGCGUUACUCGGAAUUACUGGGCGUAAAGCGUGCGUAGGUGGUGAGUUAAGUCUGUCGUGAAAGCCCCGGGCUCAACCUGGGAAUGGCGAUGGAUACUGGCUCGCUAGAGUGCGGUAGAGGAGAGUGGAAUUCCCGGUGUAGCAGUGAAACGCGUAGAGAUCGGGAGGAACAUCAGUUGCGAAGGCGGCUCUCUGGACCGGCACUGACACUGAGGCACGAAAGCGUGGGGAGCAAACAGG